CCUACGGGGGGCAGCAGUGAGGAAUAUUGGUCAAUGGCCGGAAGGCUGAACCAGCCAAGCCGCGUGAAGGACGAAGGUGCCAAGCAUUUUAAACUUCUUUUGUCAAGGGACAAAAUCAGGCUCGAGAGCCUGACCGAGGGUACUUGAAGAAAAAGCAUCGCCUAACUCCGUGCCAUCAGCCGCGGUAAUACGGAGGAUGCGAGCGUUAUCCGGAUUUAUUGGGUUUAAAGGGUGCGUAGGGGGACUGUUAUGUCAGCGGUAAAAGCCCGGGGCUCAACCCCGGCGAGCCGUUGAAACUGGCUGGCUUGAGAGGUCGAGAGGGAUGCAGAAUGCGAGGUGUAGCGGUGAAAUGCGUAGAUAUUGGGCGGAACUCCGAUUGCGAAGGCAGCAUACCGGCG
rnacentral:rRNA from 1 species